ensembl:snRNA U6 U6 spliceosomal RNA
GAGCUCACUUCGGCAGCACAUAUACUAACAUUGGAACAAUACACAGAAGAUUAGCAUUUGCCCCUGAGCAAAGAUGACAGGAAAAUUCAUGAAGCCCCGUUCAUAAAU